GAAGGUCAGGGAAGAGGAGAGUGGAUCUGUGGUGGUGGUGGCUGUUUGGAGAUUGAGAAAAGAGAAGAUUUUUUUUGAACGUGAAAAGAGAAGGUUAAUCUGGAGAUUGAAUGGUUGAGAAAAGAGAAGGCUAGGUGUUAAUUAGGUGAGAGAAUAAAUGGGUUAGGUUAAAUGGAUUUUUUUUUGAAAUUAGGUUAAAUGGGUUUUUCUAAGCCAAUUUUUUUUUAAAUUAAUUAACACCUUGCCUCAUUAAUCCCACGUGGUCAUGCCACACGGUCACCGAAGCUCCGGCGUUGACCCAGAGCUCCGAAGGGACCAAAACCAAACCUUUUGACAAAUGUUAGGGACUAAAGCUCACCUUUGCUCCAGCGAGGGACAAAAACCAAGCAUAUUGUAAAGGGUAAGGACCAAAAACUUAUUUAAGUCUUUAUUUAUUGACAGCGACAUUUGCUUGGCUGUAAGCGUGAUGGAUCUGAAGAAGUAGGAGAUUGGCAAUACCCACCAUCUGUUCCUCAAUGCACUCUAUUAUGCCUUAAAAGAUGCUAUCUAAAUGACUAUACAGGCACCAAAGGUGAGUUUCGAUUUGCAAGAUUUAUUAUGCAGAAUGGAAGAUCUUUAGAGAGGAUGGCAAUAUGUUGUCGUUCUAAAAUAAAUCGACAGGUUAAAAUACUUAUCAGAAAUGUCUGACCUUCAAAACCCAAUCCAUGAGGAAUUUGGUAGAAUACUAUGCGGGAAGAAUGGCAUAAUCUGUGAGAUUGUUCUUACAGAAUUUUAGGAGCUAGUACUGAUGUGUGGAUGGCCCAAUGAGAAACUGAGAGCUGACAAGUUAAUAAAUUGCAUCAGAUUGAUGCUUGGAUUCUCUGGUUUGUUUACCAAAAAUCAGCAUAAACAGCCUCCCAACAACUAGGAAGCUGGCAUUGAAAAACAAGGUUGUCUUUGGCACCGGUGACCAAUGGCAUGCUCCAACUAUAACUGCAAAUAUGGCAUUUGCCAGAGCAGUUUCACAGACAGGGAUGUCCUUUUCACCUAUUGAACAUUGACCACGGGCCUUAACUGGAGAUUAGUUAUAUACAUUCAUGGCAACAAGUCUGGAGGCAAUCACACUCAACAAAGUCAGGUAAUAAAAUCUAUGUUCAAUUAAAUGGGUUUGCAUGUCAUAAAAGAAUUGCAUAAAGAGAUAAGCAAAUCCAAGCUUGGUGAUUCUUGAGUGUCUUCUUAGUUGAAUGGAGAUGGAAUAACAAUUUGUGGAAGAUGGACAUUAUCCCUAGAAGAAUAACUGCAUGUUUCUGAUUAGGUACCAGGAUCCUUGUGCAAGAUGAUUCUUAAGCAUUUAUUAAAUAUUUAUAAUAAUUAUGAUGAUAGAGUCCAUAUUAAGUAAUUGAAUUUGGCUCUUUUAAAGGAGGGAUGCUAUAGGGGAUAAAGAGUGGAAUUAUAACUAUUGAUUGAAAAAAAGUUAAGGUUUAAGUCUGAAUCUGCAGUGCCGUCAUUAAUAUCCUUCCAGACUGCACUUGGCGAGUCCAGAAUACAUUGUGCACUAUUUUGUUCUGAUGACCUUGGUAGUACUGAGGUAGUGACCCUUUUCACAAAGCUCAGAAUUGGAAUACCACACACCCAACCUUCCCGCUCUUGCUCAUAGUAUAUGCCAUUCUUGUUUGGGUUGUUUGCUGUGAUCUUCACAUCAAACUUGCAUGCAGAAAUGCCUCAAUUAAGCAUCAGAUCACUUAACCUUAUGCAGUUACGCUACCAAUUGAGUAAUUGAGAGAAGUUUUGCCUUGAAGAUUGGAUAAAGGAUUCCUGCAGUUGGGUGCCAAUGUAAUAUUGACCAGGAGGAUAAGCAAAGCUUAGUGUCCAACAUAUGCACUUGCCAAACCCAUUUAGUGGAGGAUGAUGAAGGUGUGAAAAACGACUAGAAGGGGGGGGU